rnacentral:rRNA from 1 species
AUUGACCGCUGGCGGCAUGCUUUACACAUGCAAGUCGAACGGUAACAGGCCUUCGGGCGCUGACGAGUGGCGAACGGGUGAGUAAUGCAUCGGAACGUGCCCAGUCGCGGGGGAUAACUGCUCGAAAGAGCAGCUAAUACCGCUUACGAUCUGCGGAUGAAAGCGGGGGACCUUCGGGCCUCGCGCGAUUGGAGCGGCCGAUGUCAGAUUAGGUAGUUGGUGGGGUAAAGGCUCACCAAGCCAACGAUCUGUAGCUGGUCUGAGAGGACGACCAGCCACACUUGGACUGAGACACGGCCCAGACUCCUACCGGAGGCAGCAGUGGGGAAUUUUGGACAAUGGGCGCAAGCCUGAUCCAGCAAUGCCGCGUGCAGGAAGAAGGCCUUCGGGUUGUAAACUGCUUUUGUACGGAACGAAACGGUCUGGGUUAAUACCCUGGGCUAAUGACGGUACCGUAAGAAUAAGCACCGGCUAACUACGUG